GUAGAGGGACGAGGUGGUAUUCAUCCCCGAUGGCUCGAAAUCAGUUUGCGCGAAAGCGCACGGGGGUUCGAAUCCCCCCCUCUCCGCCA
rnacentral:tRNA from 1 species